rnacentral:snoRNA from 1 species
AAGCCCAUCCUGUCAUGUGACCGUGGUGGACGCUGGGACAGCGUGAGCUAGAUCACUGGUAUUGCUUUGGGAGUGUCUCGUCCCAGCACCUACGGGACGCUACAGUCUUCAGUACGACA